rnacentral:rRNA from 1 species
GACGAACGCUGGCGGCGUGCUUAACACAUGCAAGUCGAACGGAAAGGCCCUGCUUGCAGGGUGCUCGAGUGGCGAACGGGUGAGUAACACGUGGGUGAUCUGCCCCUUACUUUGGGAUAAGCCUGGGAAACUGGGUCUAAUACUGGAUAGGACCAUGCUGUAGGUGGUGUGGUGGAAAGAUUAGUUUCGGUAAGGGAUGAGCUCGCGGCCUAUCAGCUUGUUGGUGGGGUAAUGGCCUACCAAGGCGUCGACGGGUAGCCAGCCUGAGAGGGCGGACGGCCACAUUGGGACUGAGAUACGGCCCAGACUCCUACGGGAGGCAGCAGUGGGGAAUAUUGCACAAUGGGCGCAAGCCUGAUGCAGCGACGCCGCGUGGGGGAUGACGGCCUUCGGGUUGUAAACUCCUUUCAGCCAUGACGAAGCCCUUGUGGUGACGGUAGUGGUAGAAGAAGCACCGGCUAACUACGUG